CUGUUGGCGCGUUUGUGACGUCUUACCACUGCCCGCUGCUGUGGUGCUGCGCAAGAAAUAAAGGAAGAAUUUAGCACUUUCUGUUGAUAACAAGUGAAGCGUGAAAAACUGACAACAGUUCCGGUGGAUUUCCCUUUCAUUGAUGAUGGCUCAUGUUAAAAAGCAAAUAAACAGAAGUAAAGAAAUUGUAAAAAACGCUUGAUCAACAAUACCCGUAAAAACGCAGAGUAACUAUUUUCGAAGCUUGCAUUGCUAAGUUGCUAAGUAGUGAAAGUGAGUUAAGGCAACUGCAAAUAAAACACCAAAAAAAAUAUAUACAAUUACUCAUACAUAAUAUAUCUGUAUGUACAUACAUACAUAUGUGAACA